UACGUAGGGUGCGAGCGUUGUCCGGAAUUAUUGGGCGUAAAGGGCUCGUAGGCGGUUUGUCACGUCGGGAGUGAAAACUCGGGGCUCAACCCCGAGCCUGCUUCCGAUACGGGCAGACUAGAGGUAUGCAGGGGAGAAUGGAAUUCCUGGUGUAGCGGUGAAAUGCGCAGAUAUCAGGAGGAACACCGGUGGCGAAGGCGGUUCUCUGGGCAGUAACUGACGCUGAGGAGCGAAAGCGUGGGGAGCGAACAGG
rnacentral:rRNA from 1 species